rfam:Myotis davidii contig115630, whole genome shotgun sequence.
AGGCCUGGAGAGAGAAGUCAAGUCUGAUCUGUAGCCUCAGUGGAAGCUAUUGAUCAGCCCUUGCCUCUCUCUUUCUCUCCA